AAAGAAAGAGUUAGAUGUGGUGGACUAUUUAGUGGUUUUAUGAUAACUUCUUCAUCAUCAUCUUCAUCUUCUUCAUCUCAUUGGGUUUCAUCUGAGGAAAAUAUGAAUGGAAAAUCCAACAUAGCUCCUGUGGGACAUCAACAACAGCAGCAGAUUGUACAUGGAAGGAACAGAAGUUCUUGGGGAUGGGCAUUUGCAAGUCCAAUGAGAGCUUUCAGUAAGACAUCAUCAUCAAAUGGGAAAAGAGGUGCAUCGAAUAAGAAUGCUAAUACUCCUA
rnacentral:misc_RNA from 1 species